rnacentral:rRNA from 1 species
UGGGGAAUUUUGGACAAUGGGCGAAAGCCUGAUCCAGCAAUGCCGCGUGUGUGAAGAAGGCCUUCGGGUUGUAAAGCACUUUUGUCCGGAAAGAAAUCCUUGGCUCUAAUACAGUCGGGGGAUGACGGUACCGGAAGAAUAAGCACCGGCUAACUACGUGCCAGCAGCCGCGGUAAUACGUAGGGUGCAAGCGUUAAUCGGAAUUACUGGGCGUAAAGCGUGCGCAGGCGGUUUGCUAAGACCGAUGUGAAAUCCCGGGCUCAACCUGGGAACUGCAUUGGUGACUGGCAGGCUAGAGUAUGGCAGAGGGGGGUAGAAUUCCACGUGUAGCAGUGAAAUGCGUAGAGAUGUGGAGGAAUACCGAUGGCGAAGGCAGCCCCCUGGGCCAAUACUGACGCUCAUGCACGAAAGCGUGGGGAGCAAACAGGAUUAGAUACCCUGGUAGUCCACGCCCUAAACGAUGUCAACUAGUUGUUGGGGAUUCAUUUCCUUAGUAACGUAGCUAACGCGUGAAGUUGACCGCCUGGGGAGUACGGUCGCAAGAUUAAAACUCAAAGGAAUUGACGGGGUCAUAGCUGUUUCCU